ensembl:lncRNA
AGAUGCAGGGCUAAGCUAGCUAGCGUUAGUUAGUUAGAUGAUACUAGGUAUAGGUAGAUGUUACCUGUGUACAUGCAGGGCUAAGCUAGCUAGCGUUAGUUAGAUGAUACGAGGUAUAGAUAGAUGUUACCUGUGUACAUGCAGGGCUAAGCUAGCUAGCGUUAGUUAGUUAGAUGAUACUAGGUAUAGGUAGAUGUUACCUGUGUACAUGCAGGUGAGCAUGAGUCCCAGUGCAGACAUGGCUCUGUGAGGGCUUGGCAUGUUAACCCUGUCGACACUCAGUUUAACCAGUGCCUCUCCGUCCAUACGAGACAGCUGCUCCGACAGCAGGAGGCGCUCCAACCCACGCAACACACAGUGGUAGAUCACUGAGGGGGUGGAGUCUUCACUGGCUGAUACCAUCACACCACACAUCUAGAGAGGUGGAGGGUGGGCGGAGCCAGAGAGAGAGGUGGAGGGGGGGCGGAGCCAGAGAGAGAUGGAGGGGGGCGGAGCCAGAGAAUGGUGGAUUAGUACUACAGUACUAACCUGUAUAACCC